GUCGCAUUGAAUCAAUUAGACGUCGAAUGAAGUCUUGAGGGAUGUUGUCCCAUUCCCUGGAAAGUGCUAUUCGGAGCUGAGCGAGCGUUUCCGGUAGAUUUGGGCUAUUUCUGAGACGUUGUCCAAGUUCAUCCCACAGAUGUUCGAUUGGCGAUAAAGCUGGAUUCAUUUGCUGGCCAUGGCAACUCACGAAUGUGAUUGUUCUCAAAAAAGUUUAACGAAAUGUGUGCCCCCAAUCUAGUUAAAAUAUUGAUCUCUGAUAACGUAAUCAGAGAUCAAUACUUUAAUUAGAUUGGUGUGGCGUUGUCCUACUGAAAAAGAGGGACGAAAGAUACCAAAGGGACAGUCACACUCAUAGAUCGAAAAUAAACUGACAACGCCAUGACUAAACAAUAAAAAGACAAACAGACAAAUAAUAGUACAUAUUCAAGGCAUAACAUAGAAAACUAAAGAUUAAGCAACACGAACCCAACAAAAAUCUAGAGGGUAAUAUCAGGUGCUCCGGAAGGGUAAGCACCCGUCGUGUUGAUCAUGGUAUUACAAACCCAGUAAAUAAUCUAAUUCCGUAGGUCACAUUCGUGGUAAAAAGGGAGUGGAUUGUAGUUACGACAUAAGGAACAUAUCCGAUAUCAUCUGUGAAGCGUUAUACCAUAACGAUCAACCAACUCGAGAUGGCUUCCGUAAAAUUUAAGAAGGGACGAUGUCAACUUCACCAUUUGGAACUCUUGGUUUAAUAGCUUCGAAUUCCUUGUAAGAAGUAACCCUCUAUCAAAUAUAUUACUUUACCUCAACCAAAUGCUAUGAAUCUUAUCAAUAAUGCUUGCUACAACAAAACACAGAUUAAGUUUUGGAAUUUUGGUGGCGUCACGUUUACGUUCUAGAAGUAUGCCUCUUUACAAAUACAAAAUUUGUUAAAUAAUUCGAUUCCAUUCCAACCAAAUGCCCCAACCAAAUUUUAUGAAACGUUUACACAAUGCUUAUUGUCACAACAUUCAAAUCAAGUUCGAAUUGGGGUAGCAGCAUUUUUUUUUUUUUGCUGUUCUUUAGUUCUGUCCCUGUAUAACGUUACAUGCAAGCGGGGCAUUUGUGUCCAAUGGACACAUUCCCCAUUUAUUUUUAUUUGUUGCCCCACGAUAUAUAC
rnacentral:lncRNA from 1 species